AUGCCUGAGCUAGUGGUAGCGGCCCGGUCUCCAAAACCGACGCCCGCAGGUUCGACUCCUGCCAGGUAUGCAA
rnacentral:tRNA from 1 species